UACGGAGGGUGCAAGCAUUGAUCGGAAUUACUGGGCGUAAAGGGCGCGUAGGCGGUUAGGGAGGUCAGAUGUGAAAUUCCGGGGCUCAACCCCGGAGCUGCAUUUGAAACUUUCUAGCUAGAGUACAGUUAGGGAAAACGGAAUUCCACGUGUAGCGGUGAAAUGCGUAGAUAUGUGGAAGAACACCGGUGGUGAAGACGGUUUUCUGGGCUGAAACUGACGCUGAGGCGCGAAAGCAAGGGGAGCAAACAGG
rnacentral:rRNA from 1 species